rnacentral:rRNA from 1 species
AUACGGAGGGUCCAAGCGUUAUCCGGAAUCAUUGGGUUUAAAGGGUGCGCAGGCGGUUUAUUAAGUCAGUGGUGAAAUCUCGGGGCUCAACCUCGAAACUGCCAUUGAUACUGAUAAACUUGAGUUCAGUUGGAGUAGGCGGAAUGUGUAGUGUAGCGGUGAAAUGCUUAGAUAUUACACAGAACACCGAUAGCGAAGGCAGCUUACUAAACUGAUACUGACGCUGAGGCACGAAAGCGUGGGGAGCGAACAGGAUUAGAUACCCUUGUAGUCC